UUUCUACUCCCUUCGUCCGAAAAUACUUGUCAUCAAAAUGGAUAAAAAGAGAUGUAUCUAAAACUAAAAUACGUCUAGAUACAUUUCCUUUUAUCCAUUUUGAUGACAAGUAUUUCCGGACGAAGGGAGUAUUUG
rnacentral:pre_miRNA from 1 species